rnacentral:rRNA from 1 species
UUUGACAUGUACGGAAUCUUUAGAGAUAGAGGAGUGCUCGAAAGAGAGCCGUAACACAGGUGCUGCAUGGCUGUCGUCAGCUCGUGUCGUGAGAUGUUGGGUUAAGUCCCGCAACGAGCGCAACCCUUGUCAUUAGUUGCUACAUUUGGUUGGGCACUCUAAUGAGACUGCCGGUGACAAGCCGGAGGAAGGUGGGGAUGACGUCAAGUCCUCAUGGCCCUUAUAGGUGGGGCUACACACGUCAUACAAUGGCUGGUACAAAGGGUUGCCAACCCGCGAGGGGGAGCUAAUCCCACAAAGCCAGUCGUAGUCCGGAUCGUAGUCUGCAACUCGACUACGUGAAGUCGGAAUCGCUAGUAAUCGCAGAUCAGCAACGCUGCGGUGAAUACGUUCCCGGGCCUU